GAUAUUUGUCUUGUGGGCCUGAACGAGUCUGACCCCCGCGCCUAGGGUCGGGCGAGGCGGAGAUGUGCGGCGGGGGUCAGACGCUCCCGACCCCGGUCCCCUGGGUCGGGCAAGGCGGAGUUUAGUCUUCAAGGGGUUGGGAAUGUCCGACCCCGGGACGCCAGGUCGGGCGAGGCGGGACGUGGCCUCUCCCUCCCAUAUUGGGCCGACGGCAAUCUUGCUACCUUAGGUGGGCCUAGGCCUUUACGUUUUGUUGUUUCCAUGGGCUUGGGGAGAUCGUU
rnacentral:lncRNA from 1 species